UGCGCCUGCUUGUGCUUCAUUUGCGUGGUUGGAAGGUGAAGGGCACGAAUGAGGCGAAGCUGAACAUAUUUCUACACAUGAAGACGAAUCCAUGAAUCAAUACAGUGAUGAAGGCGCAGCGGCAGCCAGGCCUGUGGCAGUCAAGACAAGGUUCUGACAGGUAGAGCCCUAGCCACAUCACCUCCUCUUCAUGUGCCAGGACUUUACACAGCACCAUGCAGCACUUCAGAUGCACUCAUUCUCAAGAGCUGGUGUGAGUGGAUUUGUCAGCAUCUUCCCUCAUUAUAGCCACCUGCCUCAGCAGCCUCCCUUGCUGGCUCCUGAAGCACCUUUGGGAGCCUUUAUGGUGAGGACACCAUCGGAAGACAGGGCAGAUGUCACAGCAUCAACGUCAACCACACCGGGAAGAUGGAAGCUUCGGCGGAAGCUUUGCACCGUUACACUACCUCCUUCUUCCUGCUCUAUCCUCCCUUCCACCUGCACGUCACUCCUCCCAACAACCUUGACUUUGAUGUCACCUCCAAGGAAGUCGUGCACAUCGAGCACCACCUGCAGACAAGACAAUGGUGAGUGACUUGCUGUAGAGAGAAGUAAUUCAAGAACAACUAGUGUUGUAUCAGUCAAGAAUUAUCACUAUCACAUUUUACUGUUUAUAAACUGCAAUAUAAGCUUACCUGAUGAA